AAAUUGCAGGCCCUGGGAGUAAGGGCUAUAUUACCUGUUUCAAGGCCUGAAAGAAAAAAAAAUGCUUGGGUGUCUGAGGUUUUGGCACCCCGUUGCCAGCUCAGAGAGAUAUCCAAUACAUGUCUUGAAUGGAUAAAGGACCUGUAUGAUCUUGUUAUUCAAGCAUGUUUCUCUUCCGGUUUGUACCUAAUAAUCACUCAUGCCUGGUGGACAGGUCGCAAUUUAAAAGGGCAAUUUAGAGACACCAAUUAACCUAGCCUGCAUGUCUUUGGAUGGUGGGAGGAAGCCGGAGCACCCGGAGAGAACCCACGCGGACACGGGGAGACCAUGCAAACGCCACACAGAAAGGCCGGGGAAACCGGGGUUUGCCCCUGUCUUGGAAACAAUCUUCUGUUAAAUCAAUACUUGUAGUUUGGUAGAACAAUCAGUCUUUUCUGAAUAAUUCAGUACUUCUACAAUGUAGGGUGGACCCCACAAGGUGAUGCAAGACAAGGGGAUGAACCCCCUACUGGACCACAAAUGGUCCAACCAGAUCCCCAGGUGGCAGUGGCACUACUUCAACCCAACACCAGCUCCAAAUGGACCACAAAUGGUGACCCCAGAUCACCAGGUAGCAACAUCCCUGCAACAUCCCCCAACACCCUGACUGGACCACUGAAGGCCCUGACUAGACCCCCAGCAGCCCUUAUUGGACCACCGAAGUCCCCAAUCGGAUUGGCAGUAAGGCCUAAAGGACCCCACACACCUGAAGGACCACGAACAGCCUCCCCAGUUUCUCUUGAAAAAGUUAAACCUGAUAACUACAGAGUACAUCGCAUGGAACUCUACUGGACUGGUGUUUUAUUUAAGGAAUAGUUAAGAGUUGUG